UCUGCUCCCACCUGCAGGAACGUUUCAUUAGCCAAGAAGUAUGAAGAGGAGGAACCAACGAAGGACUCUGACCCUAAGCCCAGGUCUGGAGACCAGGACAGAAGAAGGAAAAGGACCAGAAGCAGGUCCAGGUCCAGGUCCAAAGAACGCUCAGAGGGAAGAAAAAGGAGCAGAACCAGGUCCGCAUCCAUAGAACAAUCCAGCAACUCCUCCAGACAGAACCAGAAUAAAGAGACCUCAAAAGAACCAGGUGAGGAGGUAGACCUGAAGAGCAGCGUCAGGAAGGUGGCCAAGCCCGGUUCUGGGUUGGAGGGUGGUUCUGGUGAUUGACAGGUUUGACAGCAGCUUUACCUUUAAUCCAGAACCAACUGAGGCAGAACAAAAACCCAAAUAAUGGGAUUGUCAGUGCUGCCCGUGGUCUCAUGAUCAUGGAGAAACAUCCGCUGGAAAACACAUUGAUCUCACUCUUCCACCGUAUUCUGCUCCUCAUCCUCCUCUUUGCUCAGAGCCUCCUCUCAGAGUGGAGCUCCAGACGGUCACAGGUAACAUCCCACACCAAGAAGCUGCUGGUGACGAUGAGGAGGACAGCAUGUCCACCGACGGGAGUGACAAGGGGAUGGAGGUGAUCGCAGAGGACGGGAGGAUGAUCAAGGAUAAGGAUGAAGAAAGCCUGAAAGAGGAAAGUGCUGAGGAGAACAGGACCUCUGAAGAGAUGCCAGCCUCAUCUGAGAGAGAAGAGGAGAAGAAAAUGGACACUGAGGAUGAGGAGAAGACUUCAGCGGGAGCAGAGGAGAUGGACGUGAAGGAUGCAGGCGCCGAAGAUCAGGAGCAGCUCAUGACUGAGGAGAAAGAGGGAGAGGAGGAGAGGCUGAGGGAGAUAAAGGAGGAGGAGACGGAGGAAGCUGGUUUCCCCCUGAACCUGGAGGACUGCAUCACUCUGGAUGAAGUUCACUCAGAUGAUGAAGGUGAAGGUGACGGAGGUGAAGCGUCUCAGCUGGAGGCCAGCAGGGUGGUGUCCUUCAGCGCCGUACCGCAGGGCUGCACCCACGCAGAGCUCAUCAAAGUCAUGAGAGGCUUUGGGACGGUGGUUCGAUACCUGUUGAUCCGGGACCAGCAGCAGGCCUUCGUGGAAAUGUCGAGUCCCUCCGAGGCUCAAACUGCUGCAGAGGAGCUGAACUCCAACUGCAUCAGCAUCAACGGCUGCCGGCUGAUCGGCUCUGUGUCACGGGAAAAUACCAGACUCACCGACGGGUGGGACGUUAAAGGUGACGAAGAUGAGGAGAGGAGGAGUGAGCAAAGUGACAGGAGAACCUCCGAACCAGAGGAGAAGCCAUCUGAGGAGGUUCGUGAGAAAGACGCAUCAGAGACGGAGGUUCAGGAAGGAGAGGAGACGCCAGAGACGAGUCAAGAGACUCCUUCAGACAAGACGGGAGAAAAUAAAACUGAGGGAAAAGAGAGCAGAGAGACUCCAGCAAAGAAAACGGUUCCCGAAGACAAGAAUCCACCUGAAGAUCAGGAUCUCCAACAGCAAAGAGACGCCGAGAAGCUGAGCGACUCCCAUGAACCUGAAGUGAGGGAUCCAGAGAGAGCGGAUCAUCCAGAAACCGCUGAACAGAAUGCUGUGGCGGCGCCACCUUUUGCACCUGCAGGGGGCGCCACUGAAGCAGAACGACUCUCCAAGGCCGUUGGUAAGAUCAACACGCCACCAUCCUGGUUCAGGGGUUCUGUUCUCACUGUAGGCCCGUUGAACGUCCCGGCAUUCAUUGCACCCACGGUCUUGUGUUGCAGGAGCUGA
rnacentral:lncRNA from 1 species